GGUGAAGCCAGCCUGACUUGUGUCCUUCCCUUCAUGGUGGUAAUUAUCCAGUUGAUAUUUAUCUUGUUCCAGUCACCUUUAGAAAGCUGUUUGCUCUCAAAUCUCCAGGCAGCCUCUAUUGAUUGAUCUGAGUUGGCAGAUGAGUUGGCAGGCCUCAAAUUCCUGUUCCCAGUGAUAUGAGUACCCACAGAUAAUUCACUGGCAAGGGCAGUGACUGGAAGCUGGGAGAGAGGGUCAAC
ensembl:lncRNA SLC8A1-AS1 SLC8A1 antisense RNA 1